rnacentral:snRNA from 1 species
GUGCUCAUUUUCGCAGCACACGUACUAAAAUUGGAAUGAUACAGAGAAGACUAGCAUGGCCCCUGCACAAGGAUGAGACACAAAUUCGUGAAGCAUUCUAUUUGUCU